CUUGCUUUUUAGCUUUACACAACGAAAAUAAUAUAAAUAUUAAAACAUAUGAAUUGUUAAUACCGUUAUGCAGAAUGCAAGACGGCAUCGAUUGAAAAUCAUUGUAAGAAAGCCAUGGAAAACAAAAUCAGGCAGUAUACAAAAAAGAUAUUUAAUACCCAACCCUGAUUUCAAGUAAACUUCUAUAUUUCCCAAUUUUAUUUAUAUUUAUUUAAAGGUUCCUGCCUACCUUGGAUGAAACAACAAUAAAGUAACGGGAUGAACUAAACCCAACUUUAAGCCUCUCCCUCAACAUCGUCCAACUUGACCAAAUUAUUUUCAAACAAUUCUCUUCCUGUCAUUCUUUUCUCCAAUAUAGCCUUCCGUGCAUUACUCGAAGAUGCAGCACUCAAAGCCUCCUUUAGUUUUGACUCUUGCUCUAAUUUUAGUUGCUCAUUCCGCCAAGCAUCAAAUCCUUUUUUCCAUUCCGUAAAUGAUUCAACCGUUACUGGCGUUCCAUGGAAUUUUUUAUUUUCCUGUUCUGCUUCCUUUCGAUGUCUUUCCUCUAUAGCUUGUGUUUCGCGCUGAGAUUGCUCGAUAAGAAUGGCGUUAGUCUCCUCCUUAGCAACAGAACAUAAUGAAAAUAUCAUUGCCAUUCCUAAGCAUUCCUCUGCCUAUAUAUGAAUGAUUAGUUAUAUGAUGGAAAUUAUAAAUAUGCAUCAAUGCUUAAUAAAACAGUGAAAGAGCUUUCCUAGUGGACAAAAGCAAUCCUCAGCUACUUCUAUUCUUGUUCCCUUUUCGAUUGUAUCUUAACUGGUUCAUACAUUUUGAGCGACAACUUGUUUUAGUCUCUCUAUUUCCUCUUCACCAAGCCAAGGAUGAGGUUCAGAGAAUGUAAUUUUAACGUCGGGCACUUCAUCUGGAUAAGCUUCACUGAGCUGACACGUGAAAAUUAAGGAGGCUAAUUGAUCGUAUAAGUUAGAGAGUCGACCAUAACCAAAUACUGUUGUAAAUUAAAAAAAAAAGGGCUUACGUGGAUUAUCGCAAUUCGAUUCUUCACGAUCAAUAGGUUGAGUAAUCUCAAAUGUACUGUCGUUUAUACCUAACUAAUGUUAAUCAAUAAAUUUUCCAAUUGAUGGUCUAUUAAAUUUGCAGAGCAAAUAUUUGAAUCAAUAAAAUAUUAUGCACAUUUAUGAAAUCUCACUCUUUCCGAAAAAAUUUAUAAACAAAUAACAAUAUUUGACUUACAUUUAAACUCUUCUGGAUAUAUUGAUUCCAGGAUUUCCCGUUCUUCUUCGAUUGCAGAAGUCAUUUGCGUGAAGGUGGAAUGC